rnacentral:rRNA from 1 species
GAUGAACGCUGGCGGCGUGCCUAAUACAUGCAAGUCGAGCGAACGGACGAGAAGCUUGCUUCUCUGAUGUUAGCGGCGGACGGGUGAGUAACACGUGGAUAACCUACCUAUAAGACUGGGAUAACAUCGGGAAACCGGAGCUAAUACCGGAUAAUAUUUUGAACCGCAUGGUUCAAAAGUGAAAGACGGUCUUGCUGUCACUAAUAGAUGGAUCCGCGCUGCAUUAGCUAGUUGGUAGGGUAACUGAUUACCAAGGCAACGAUGCAUAGCCGACCUCAGAGGCUGCUCUCCCACACUGGAACUGAGAGACGGUCCACCCUCCUGCGGGUGGCACCCGUACCGGAUCUCUCGCGGUGGGCGCAGGCGUGACGAUUCGACGCUGCGCGAGUGAUGAAGCUCGUCGGGCCGUGUGACUCUGGAAUGCGGUAGGAUCGUAUGUCUAUGUAACCCGGGACGUCAUGGACGUUCCUGGUCAGAUAGGCUCCGCUUACUUCCUU